rnacentral:rRNA from 1 species
AGGCCUAACACAUGCAAGUCGAACGGUAACAGGAAGAAGCUUGCUUCUUUGCUGACGAGUGGCGGACGGGUGAGUAAUGUCUGGGAAACUGCCUGAUGGAGGGGGAUAACUACUGGAAACGGUAGCUAAUACCGCAUAACGUCGCAAGACCAAAAAGGGGGACCUUCGGGCCUCUUGCCAUCGGAUGUGCCCAGAUGGGAUUAGCUAGUAGGUGGGGUAACGGCUCACCUAGGCGACGAUCCCUAGCUGGUCUGAGAGGAUGACCAGCCACACUGGAACUGAGACACGGUCCAGACUCCUACGGGAGGCAGCAGUGGGGAAUAUUGCACAAUGGGCGCAAGCCUGAUGCAGCCAUGCCGCGUGUAUGAAGAAGGCCUUCGGGUUGUAAAGUACUUUCAGCGGGGAGGAAGGGAGUAAAGUUAAUACCUUUGCUCAUUGACGUUACCCGCAGAAGAAGCACCGGCUAACUCCGUGCCAGCAGCCGCGGUAAUACGGAGGGUGCAAGCGUUAAUCGGAAUUACUGGGCGUAAAGCGCACGCAGGCGGUUUGUUAAGUCAGAUGUGAAAUCCCCGGGCUCAACCUGGGAACUGCAUCUGAUACUGGCAAGCUUGAGUCUCGUAGAGGGGGGUAGAAUUCCAGGUGUAGCGGUGAAAUGCGUAGAGAUCUGGAGGAAUACCGGUGGCGAAGGCGGCCCCCUGGACGAAGACUGACGCUCAGGUGCGAAAGCGUGGGGAGCAAACAGGAUUAGAU